rnacentral:rRNA from 1 species
UGGGAUGAGCCCGCGGCCUAUCAGCUUGUUGGUGAGGUAAUGGCUCACCAAGGCGACGACGGGUAGCCGGCCUGAGAGGGCGACCGGCCACACUGGGACUGAGACACGGCCCAGACUCCUACGGGAGGCAGCAGUGGGGAAUAUUGCACAAUGGGCGAAAGCCUGAUGCAGCGACGCCGCGUGAGGGAUGACGGCCUUCGGGUUGUAAACCUCUUUCAGCAGGGAAGAAGCGAAAGUGACGGUACCUGCAGAAGAAGCGCCGGCUAACUACGUGCCAGCAGCCGCGGCCG